rnacentral:rRNA from 1 species
UACGUAGGUGGCAAGCGUUGUCCGGAUUUACUGGGCGUAAAGGAUGCGUAGGCGGAUUAGUAAGUCAGAUGUGAAAACCCCGGGCUCAACUUGGGGACUGCAUUUGAAACUGCUAAUCUAGAGUGCAGGAGAGGAGAGUAGAAUUCCUAGUGUAGCGGUGAAAUGCGUAGAGAUUAGGAAGAAUACCAGUGGCGAAGGCGACUCUCUGGACUGUAACUGACGCUGAGGCAUGAAAGCGUGGGGAGCAAACAGG